rnacentral:rRNA from 1 species
CACGUAGGGCGCGAGCGUUGUCCGGAAUUAUUGGGCGUAAAGAGCUCGUAGGCGGCCUGUUGCGUCCGCUGUGAAAGCCCGGGGCUUAACCCCGGGUCUGCAGUGGAUACGGGCAGGCUAGAGGUAGGUAGGGGAGAAUGGAAUUCCUGGUGUAGCGGUGAAAUGCGCAGAUAUCAGGAGGAACACCGGUGGCGAAGGCGGGUCUCUGGGCCGAUACUGACGCUGAGGAGCGAAAGCGUGGGGAGCGAACAGG